AUGGCGUCGAUAGUGGACUGGUGCCGGAUGAAGCUCGGAUUAAAACCAGAUCCUACAUAUAUGAAACAAUUGGACCUUUCAAAAGAUGCAUCACAAUAUCUCGAUGAAAAUCAAAAGUUUUUUGUGAAGAAAAUCGGGAAAGCAAAUAAAUUGCGAUCGGUUCAGACGCAAACAACAAAGAAACGAGGCAGAUAUAUUGGAGUGCUUCUGAUUCUUGUGGCAUUUGGGUUAUAUGGAGGAACAAUCCGCAGUAUCAAACAAGAAAAGUUCUUGGAUGAAUUUGAUGACAUGCAUAAAUCCUAGUGUUGCAUUAGUUUGUGUGAAAUAUCUUUGCUUCCUGUUGUUACAUCUGUGAAAUUGUUUGUGAAAGAUGAAAAGAAGUGUGAAUGAAAUAUUCUAGUUAAUUAUAGAAGAAAUUAGAAUCUAAUGAACUGUAUAGUAUAAAAUCAUGUGAGCUGUGAAGAAAUGAAGCAGACCAGGUAAAUCACAAACAGGUGUCUUUGCAGUGACAGGAAGAUGCUGGUUCUCGGAGAUUUGAAAACAUGCUUGAAGAUUGAUUGACUUGUGUUGUGUUUUUAUGAAAGGAUCAGUCUUAUUGAACUACUUUAUCUUCAGGAGCUGCAGUUCCUACAUAGUAUAAAAAGACGAUAUCUGAUGAUUGUUAACUAAAUGCUUACUAAAUGUUUAAACUUAUAUAAAGUAGAAACAGUCAGAUUAUUGAUGAUUGAUUUACAGUAUAAAGUACCUUCAAAUUUAUUGUAAACACCAUGCAAUAAGACUGUAACGUUAAAACAAUCUUAGAUCAGAUUUUGUGAUAGGUUUUGUGGUACAUCUUGCAGUAUUUUUGUAUCACAUUUACAGGUAUUUGUUUUCAAAAGUAACAAUGUAAUGAAGAGUGAAAUGAUGUUAGAGUAAUAAAUAUACAUGUAUAUAUUGUUUCAUCUGACAUUAAAAUAUUUCAAUUAAAGA